rnacentral:rRNA from 1 species
UACGGAGGGUGCGAGCGUUGUCCGGAUUUAUUGGGUUUAAAGGGUGCGUAGGUGGCUGAUUAAGUCAGUGGUGAAAUACAGCCGCUCAACGGUUGAGGUGCCAUUGAUACUGAUUAGCUUGAAAGAAUUGGAGGCUGCCGGAAUGGAUGGUGUAGCGGUGAAAUGCAUAGAUACUCAUCCAGAACACCGAUUGCGAAGGCAGGUGGCUACGAUUUAUUUGACACUGAGGCACGAAAGCAUGGGGAGCAAACAGG